CUUGUGAAUAAAUAUAAGUAGGGUUGAGACUGUUUUUCAAAGCUACCCUGAAGUAUUGGAGGCAUUUUUUUUUGUCCCUAAACUAGACAGAAAUUAUGCAUCCAUGAUCUAGAAGAAAUCUCAGCUUGUAUUGUUUCUUAGAGCUGUAAAACUCUUCAAGAAGAAUCUGCAUCACCACAGAGUUCCUUGGGUUCUGCCAGUAUUAAAAAUGUCUGCAGUGGGCACCUCCAGUAGGUAUACACAUCUAAUUACAAAAGACUUAUUAAUUCUGCAGUAGACUGGCAUGGUUCUUGUAGAGGUUCCCUUUGUUUCACAAUAGAAGAUUUAUUCUAAAAAAAAACCAACAUUGAAGUCAGUGCGGAUAUUGAUGUCAUUGGGGAUUUUGUCCCAGGCGUGUACUAUACUCUUGCAUUUGAAUGGGGAAACACAGCAGUUCAUUGUGAUAGGAAGGUUUGGGUGUUUGUUUGCUUUCCUUUACUGGCACCAUGCCUGUUGUGCAGAUUCAAAGUUACCAGAGCAGUGACGCAGCCAGGUCCUGGGAUGCAUAUUGGUUUUUGAAGCUUAGAGCUCAGUGACUAUUUCUGGAGAAUUUUAGUUAUAUGCUGAAGUAAGUAUUUCAUCAUUUUGAGGUUGAUGUAUCUUGUCUUUUAUGAGAUCCAUGACCUGUUCAGGAAGGCAGUGGACUGGCCAUCUCUGCUUCCUCAAUACUAUGUUGUUAACAUAACAUCGUUACCUAAUGAGCUAACUAUUGGUGUUUUUCUUCUUUUUUUCUGGAUGCUGUGUUUAUGCCAAAAUAUGAGCCAUCUUUUUCAUUUCUAGUCAUUAAGUAACAAUGAUGCAGUAAGGACAAACCUGCUGUUUCCUAUUGCUUCUGUGUUUGUAUUUUGUGCCUGACUCUUGACUUAAGAAGCCACCCUUGUCUAUGUAUCAUCACCUUCAUUAGAUUUUCACAAUUCAUUUCACUUUGGCAUCUACAUGUUCUUGCAGUUUACUUUAGGUGUUAUGUAAUCUACGUUAUCAUCGUGUCUGGGUUCUUGUGCAGUUGCUUUGGGGUUCCAUCUCUAGAGGGGAAUUUUUGAAUUGCCCAAAGUAUUGUUUUGAUCUUUGGAAAACAUUAAAACUCUUACUUUCACACAUUAUACCUCCUAUGCAGAAAAUCUGUACAUCACUAAAAUUCCACUCACCUCCUCAUGUAAGUGCUAAAUUUAGAAGUAAAUAUUACUCAGAUCUCUUUUGUAGAACUGUCUGUGGGGAUGAAUUUCAUUAAUUGUAUUUUGAUGAAUACAUUCUUUCACAUUCAGCUCUAACCUUCCCUCAAAUCUUAACGUAAUAGAAAGCAACAUUACAAUACAGGAACACACCUCUAUGUACAAAUACAAGCAUUGUCAUAUGUUUUCAGGUGUUUUCUGUGUUCUCACAGAGCUCUCUUGAGCACAGGAAGAAAUGCUUCUAAUGAUGUUCAGCAGUACAGUCACUAUAAAAUAAGCUUUUUUUUCCAGUGACAUUACCGCCAUACUGCACAGCCAUCAUCACAUGGUGGAUGGUAACUCAUUAGUGAGGAACCAUUCCUCUAUAGGAGAAGCACCCUAAGGGGUUUCAUUUAGGUAUUUCUGCGCCUUCUGCAUAACAGCUGCCAUUUCUGGAAUAACUUUUCCAACAGGCUUCAACAUAUCAGCCAUGUAGGAAUAGGUAUCUUUCUCUCCUGAAUAACCUGGGCAGGUGUUACAAGUCUUUAAGCCUCAGAUUGCUGGUAAGUGAACUUCAACGUACCAGCCAGUUUUAGAAGAGCAAAUGUUUAUUACGUACAGGGAAUAUGGUUCUGUAAAUAUAUAUGCACUAAGAAAGUGUGUUAUUAAUUUACUGAUUCUGCAUAUCCAAAAUACAUAGUUCAGGCAGUAGACCUGCAAGGAAAAUGUCCCAAAUUGUAAAUACAGGGACACCUGCUGCUGCCCUUACACUGCAGUUACCCCUGUGAGUAACCCAUUACCUGUCAGUUUUUAAAACUGCUUAUCUACAUCUCACCCAUUGUGACUAAUCCUUGUAGAGGACAGGCCAGUAAAACUUGCUAGCAACAGUGGUUUCCUGACUCAUUUCUUCAGGGACUUUCUUUUCAAGAUAUUUUUCUUAAACAGGACAAGUGGUUUCAGAGAGUGGGCAAAAAAGGCUGUACCUUACCUUGUUGAUCAUGGAGAAAUUUGUACCUUAGAAAGACUUCAUGGGCGUGGAACCGAUAUUCAGAUUUGGAAAGAAUAUUCCCUAAGAAAGAAGAGAGAAGAGGAUCCAGGACAUUUAUUCUUUUCCUUUAAAAACUGCUGAAAUACGACUAAAUAAAUUAUUUCUGAUUCUCAAAAUAAA